rnacentral:rRNA from 1 species
GACGAACGCUGGCGGCGUGCCUAAUACAUGCAAGUAGGACGCUGAAGAGAGGAGCUUGCUCUUCUUGGAUGAGUUGCGAACGGGUGAGUAACGCGUAGGUAACCUGCCUUGUAGCGGGGGAUAACUAUUGGAAACGAUAGCUAAUACCGCAUAACAAUGGAUGACACAUGUCAUUUAUUUGAAAGGGGCAAUUGCUCCACUACAAGAUGGACCUGCGUUGUAUUAGCUAGUAGGUGAGGUAACGGCUCACCUAGGCGACGAUACAUAGCCGACCUGAGAGGGUGAUCGGCCACACUGGGACUGAGACACGGCCCAGACUCCUACGGGAGGCAGCAGUAGGGAAUCUUCGGCAAUGGGGGCAACCCUGACCGAGCAACGCCGCGUGAGUGAAGAAGGGUUUCGGAUCGUAAAGCUCUGUUGUAAGUCAAGAACGAGUGUGAGAGUGGAAAGUUCACACUGUGACGGUAGCUUACCAGAAAGGGACGGCUAACUACGUG